UGCAAAGCCGGGUCUCUUUGGAGAGGCUUGGCAGAGCCGUGGCUGCCUUCCUUUCAUUUGCUCCCUUUUCUGCAGUUCUAUCUGAGGACCUUUGGGUCACCUGCCUGCGGCAAGCUGCCUGCUGCAGAGGGAGCUGGCGUGGAGGAGCUGGGAAAUGAGGUGGCUGUGCAAACUCGGGCUUCAGAGGUGCCAAGAGAUCACUCGGAGGGAAUGUACUGAGCUGUGAGGACGGGCGAGCCCGGGAAAACAAUUCGACAACAAUGCCGAGCGCCUAGCUUUCAUCAUCGGCUUGCUGGGUUCCGAGUGUAGUCUGCCACCUAAUCAUAAACAGAGGCUCGCGCUGCCAUCUGGCAGCAAGGCGUGUGUGUGCUGCUGUCGGCUGGGACUUGGGGCCCAUCCUAUGUGAGGUGUCCUCCAUCACAGACACAGAGUCAGGCGCUGGGCCCCAGGAGGUCACUGUGGUGAAGGACGGCACAACUCACCUCUUCCACCACGAAAAAAUCAGAGAUGAUGGCGCUGGCAGCUUCCAUGUCUAGCCCAGCAAGCAGGCCAGAGAGGAGAUGAAAUCUUAGUUCAACAAAAC
rnacentral:lncRNA from 1 species